AUGCGGAACGGAACGGAUGGGGUUAAAAGUUAAUUUAAAAAUUAACUUUUAACCCAUCCGUUCCGUUCCGCAUUUUAACCCCAU